GUGUCAGCAGCCGCGGUAAUACGUAGGUGGCAAGCGUUGUCCGGAUUUACUGGGCGUAAAGGGCGUGCAGGCGGUUUGUUAAGUCUAGGGUGAAAGCUCCCGGCUCAACUGGGAGAGGUCCUUGGAUACUGGCAGACUUGAGGAGAGUAGAGGAGAGUGGAAUUCCCGGUGUAGUGGUGAUAUGCGUAGAUAUCGGGAGGAACACCAGUGGCGAAGGCGGCUCUCUGGGCUCUACCUGACGCUGAGACGCGAAAGCGUGGGGAGCGAACCGGAUUAGAUACCCCGGUAGUCC
rnacentral:rRNA from 1 species